rnacentral:rRNA from 1 species
UACGUAGGGGGCAAGCGUUGUCCGGAAUCAUUGGGCGUAAAGCGCGUGUAGGCGGCCCGGUAAGUCCGCUGUAAAAGCCCAGGGCUCAACCCUGGAAAGCCGGUGGAUACUGUCGGGCUCGAGUCCGGAAGAGGCGAGUGGAAUUCCUGGUGUAGCGGUGAAAUGCGCAGAUAUCAGGAGGAACACCAAUGGCGAAGGCAGCUCGCUGGGACGGUACUGACGCUGAGACGCGAAAGCGUGGGGAGCAAACAGG